GCUCAAUGGAGUAGAAACAAUGUGAACUUCUUGAGUUUGGCAGAACAAAGAAUGCAGGUGGCGGUACUACAUCCUUUGAUCUCAAGAAUAUCCCUCAGCCAGAAUGAGGAAUGAAUCCCCAUUUGUCUAAGCCUGACAUGGUGUGGUAGAGAUGCAGGCUACAACCCAAAUCUGUUCUGCCAACCUAUUGCUGCAACUGUUGCCGACCCAAGUCCAACCCAAGAUGCAUUUUCCAGCUGUGUUUGGCGGGGAUGACCAUGAGACUAUGCUCCCAUCCAUUAAACUUGAGCUUAACCGAUAUAUGGAACUUCUAUCUCACUUGCUGAAGAGGGAAUCCGGACUCUGCACUUCUGUUCUUUCUAUCUUCCCACUAACAGGAAGGGCAAUGCUCAGAGCAACUUUGAAAUCCAUCAACUUGGAUUUGUGAGUUACUGUAUGGAACAAAGUGGCCUGUCAUCCUGAAAUGCUCAACUGGGAAGUUCUACUUGAAAAUAAAGAAAACUUUUCUA